CCCGCGGCCGGACCGAACCCGCGGCCCCCGCCGGGAGCAGAGCGAGCGAGCCGGCGAGCGAGCGGAGCCCGGGUGCGAGUUGGAAGUUUCUGGGGGGCGCCCACGCCUCUCCAGGGCCGCCUUUUCAAAUUCGGCGAGGCGGAAACAGAGGCCCAAAAGAGUUAAGCCGGAAAAAGAGCACGCUCUUGGUGUAGGGCCCUUUGGACAAAACUACUUCACACCCAGGCUUCCUUAGAAUCUUCUCCCUUUUCACCUCCACCCUCUACCUUGCCAACUCUCUCUCUCUCCAAGGUGAGCUGUAGCCAGGAAUGAGGAAAGCCCUGGACUCGGGGGUGAGAAGUUGUCCUUGGAAUCACUGAUUCAUGAGGCAUCAGAUCUGGACAGUAGCUUCAGGGGAGGGAAGAUGGGAUUACAGUCCCACCUUUUACAGACGGGCAUGCCGAGUCCCAGAUCCCACACUGAGCCCAUGGGCCGCCUGGCCCCAAGUUGAUCUUUUCUGGGCUGCAAGAUCUCCAGAGCGCUGUACCUCAAGCAGGGGACAGGUGGGGCCCAAAAUCUAGGCUGCGCCCCCUCUCCCCAGAUUGAGUCUUUCUAAUUCUCCCUGAAGCACCCUAGGGGCUGACAGAGGCCCCAAAGCUGCCUCUUGGCCCCCCUAACUAAGAGCUACUAGUCUGUAAAAUGCCCCGAGGUCUGGAGAGAAGCCAUCCAAUAUGGAAGUGCUUAAUGGGCUGCAGUACAUUUUGUAAGAGAAUUCUGGAAUUGUUUUUAGGGGAAUACAGGAAAAUGCCGUUGGGGAUGUGAAUAGAAAGGCCCACUCCCGCGGCUUCUGUCCUCUUGUUCACAUGUCCCAUAUGUACCCUCUUGAGUACCUAUCCCCAAACAUAUCCAACCCGCUUCACCUUCUCCCCCAACUACCCGUCUUCCUCCACUCGGCUCUCUCACAUCCUGCUGAGGCCUCGUCAGUGGACUUCCCAAGUCCCGAGUCUCUGACCAGGACUCAGGUUGGAUACAGUCCAUCUCAGAGUGGGCAGUGCAUAAUGGGAAAUGUCACUUGGACCUAGAACUACUUCCUUCAACUUGCCCUCCAUCCCUCUCUCAAGACCUAAAAGAUUUGGAGAGUUUGGGUUAUCAGGGGAUUUUCAGGGCCUCCCCAAAAGGAAUCUGAACUGUGGUCCCUGGGCAGUUGGCUAACACCCAGUAAGUGGUGAGGUCAUUCCCCGCCCCCCAGGAAUUUGUAAGCAUUCUGUCUUCUUCCUUCCUCUCCUUUACUUGCAUAAUGAGACCUCAAAGACCAGAGAAAUUCCAUGUAGCUAUAAAUUAGCUUUAUGCUGCAGGCGUGACAUGAAGGGAACAAGAUUUUUUUUUUUUAAGGAUUCCGUUUUUAUCUUAAAGUCAUUUGUCCAGUGCUACAGGCUACACCCAGACAAGAGAGGUGCAGAGAGAAAAGAGGGGUAACACUACUCUGUACACCUCAGGAUUCGUUCAGGAUGAAAAGCUUUAGGAAAAGAACUAAUUCAUCCCGGCAACUUCAGGACUGAGACAGUUGUCUGAGUUUGGUCCUCCGUUUCAUAUGCAGGACAGUAAGUUCAUUCUGGCCCCACGAACGUGACCAGGAAGCUUCUGUGUGUUCAGCACCAUGCUGUGCACAGUGAGGGCUGGUAGAGAAGCAAAUAAUAUGGUUGUCACCCUCACGGUGCCUGCACUACUCUUCAGGGAGGCAUUAAAAUGGCAAAAGGCAGGGGCACCGGGGUGGCUCAGUCGGUUAAGCGUCCAACUCUAGAUUUCGGCUCAGGUCGUGAUCUCGUGGUUUGUGAGUUCGAGCCUUGCAUAGAGCUCUGCACUGACAGUGCGGAGCCUGCUUGGGAUUCUCUCUCUCCCUCUCUCUCUGCCCCUCCCCUUCUCUCUCUCUCUCUCUCAAAAUAAAUAAAGUAAAAAAAAAAAAAAAUAGCAAAGGGCAGCCAGCAGUUCGGACAAAAGUUCUGCAAACAAGAGGCGGUUCCAUUUAGACGGUAAGGGAUAAAAAGACAGAUGCAUAAAAUCAGGAAAAGAAAUAUGAUACUGCCCACACCACCCAGACCCAGAAGCCCCAGGUCUGUUCCGGGCUCCCCCACUCACUUGCUGAUGACCCGCAGAAAACUCCCCUCUCUGGUCCUUCCCAGUGUCUUCAUUUGUAAAGUGAAAAGUGUAUUGGUUGUCUCUGAAGAUCUUCCCAGGUCCGGCCUUCAGUAAUUCACUCUUCUCUUCGUCCUCCACUCCCCUCUCCAAGGCACCUGUGGAUAUACCCAGCCUUACUGAGCUGUCACUCUUCUACGUAAGAUUUUCAGCUGCCAACCCCCCCCCAAGAUGGGGCCGCGGGAGCCAAGAAGAACGGAGAAGGGUUCAAUAGCGAUACGGUCUCAACUCCCCCCAGGGAACACCAACAAAAAGCAGAUCUUCUGUUCUGCUGAAGUCAGCAGAGAGAGCCACUGAACAGAGAAGUAAUACUCAUCAAGCUGAAGCCAAGGUGUCCACCCGGGCCCUAUAAACAGGAACUCUGCUUUGCCCAGCACACCUGCAAGUGUAAGCCUACCUGUUUCCCCCAAACACCGGCAGUGAGAUAGAUGUUCAGAGACGGCGAAUUUGACGGCUGCCACAACACCCCAUGAUCUUAAACAGAAGUUUGAAGGGGGGGGGGGGGGCAGUGUCAAAAACAAAACCUAAAAAACACACACAAAAAAAGUAGGGAGUGUGCCCAAUCACCCACGCUAAAAGCCCAACUUGUAUGGUGAUCAGUUUGCUCCCUAAUGUGGCCACAGCCCAGCAAAUGCUUCCCAAAGAGCUUAAGGAGACGGUUCGAUGAUAAACAAAGGAAGGCCGUGUCUUCGUGUGUUCCUUCCGCUGCUAUAAAGAACACCAUAGACUAGGGGGCUUAUAAACCAUAGGAAUUUAUUUCUGACAGUUCUGGGAGCUGGAAGUCCAAGAUCAAGGUGAGGGCCCACUUCCUGGUUCAUGGGAGGCCAUCUUCUCGCUGUGUCCUCACAUGGCAGAAGGGGCAAGGGAGCCCGCUGGGGUCUCUUUUAUGAGGGCAUCAGUCCCGUUCAGGAGGCCUCCAGCCUCCUGAGCCAAGCACCUCCCAAAGGCCCCGCCUCCAAAUACCAUCAUACUAGGGGGUUAGGAUCUCAAGGGAUGGAUGGGGAGUGGGGGGGACACAAACAUUCAGUCCCUUGCAAGGGACUGAAAUUCCAAAAUAAAGAAGAGGCGAUGCCCAGGAGAGUGUUGGCCUUACCAGUUUUACCCUGGCACAGGUAUGAAGACGGUGGGGUGUUUAGACACAGUAACCCCACAUCAUGAUGGCCCUCCCACCAGUGCCCGAGCUGAGGGUCUGUGAUGGGUAGUUCUUCCCAGGGCUCCUCACUCCCUGCACUGUCCAGUGCUGCAGUUCAGCACUUGGGGCUCCUGCCAUGAGAAGACCGUAAAACAGAGCAACGGUGAGUGACUGGGGAGGUAGGAGUGGCCACGGAGGGACGCUGGACUUAGGGAAGACCGGCCGGGAGCGAUCCAGACCUCCCAAGUCGUGCGGGCAAAAGGAAUGAAACUUGUUCUUUGAGCCCCAAGGACGACCUGGAGGCCAAUGCAUGAUGAUGGCCGCUGAACGCAAAGAGAACUUCCCGAGUCGGGUAAGCGGAAAGCAGGAGCCAAGGCGCUGAGACCGUGGUUCCAGGCCCUCGGGGCAAGAAAGGCACCUCAUCCAUGGAAGACUUUCCCCUAAAUGGACCUGAGUAAGUCUGGGAGAGGAAACUGGUGUUCACCAACGUCUGGAUCAGCUGCCUUCUCCAGAGAAGGCCUCCCUCCCCCAGCCCCCCUCCCCCCUUGCAGCUGGGCAGGGCCAUGUGGCUAGCUCUGGCCGCUGGGUAGGAGAAGGGACCACGCCCACUUCUGGGCAAAGAGAGGUGAGGGGGUAUGACUUCUCCAAGCCCUGUCUGUCCCCCAGAUGUUCCCUGGGCCGGGCCUGGGUCAGCCUGGACCCCUGUGUGCAGAAGGCUUUCCCCCACCCAGCCCGCCCUCUAACUAGCGCUGGAGAGCCUUCAGUGGUCAGCCACGGAGAUGUCAGGGACAUCUUACUACUGUAGCAUUGCCUGGCCUUUUCUAAUACAUUAAAGGACGUAUGUGUGCUUUGGUGGCUUGGUGCAAAGGGGCCCUUUGCCCUGCAGAAGCGGUCAGAAAAUGAUCUCCUACGGACAAGAUUGAACCUUUUGGUGCCUGUCCAUCUGCGUCUAUGCAAGAUCUGGGUCACGUCCCUCUCUUUCACUUUCCCAGAUGUGUCUGUCGCUCUCACUAAGCAAAUCCUAACGUGUGGCGAACCAAAGGGCACAGCAGGUACCGUGGUGUACGUGCACCCAAACCCCUUGAGAGCUGGAGAGAAGCCACCCCCCACCAAAGGCAGCUGUCCGGAUGACGCUUGUCCUCCCCCACCUCCACACCACCUCUGCAUGCUCCAGCUCCAGAGGGACACCUCUGUUCCCUCAACAGGCCAGGAUCUUUUCCAUUGUUGAGACUGCACAGCCGGCUCCCCUCUGUCUGUGCUGUGCUGCAGACUGAAUGCUUCCGGCCCACCCAGACUCACAUGUUGGAAGCCCACCCCCAAGGCAAUGGCAUUAGAAGGUGGGGCCUUUGGGAGGUGAUUUGGUCAUUAAGGUGGAGCCUCCUGAAUGGGGAUGAGUGCCCUGCUUUUUUGUUUUAAUGUUCAUUAAAUAUUUACUUUUGAGAGAAAGAGAGACACAGAGUAUGCGUGAGGGAGGGGCAGAGAGAGAGGGAGACACAGAAUCCGAAGCAGGCUCCAGGCUCCACGCUGUCAGCACAGAGCCUGACUCGGGGCUCGAACCCAUGGACCGUGAGAUCAUGACCUGAGCCAAAGUCAGACGCUUAACCGGCUGAGCCGCCCAGGCGUCCCAUGAGCACGCUUCUAAAAGAGACUUCAGAGAGUUCCCUUGCUCCUUUGCCGUGUCAGGAGACAGAUGUCUGUGAACCGGGAAGCAGGCUGUCACCAGACACAGAAUCUGCCGGCACCGUGGUCUCGGCGGCCUCCAGAAGAGUGAAAAACAAAUGCCUGUUGUUGAGAAGCACCCCCGGCCUGCGGUGUUCUCUUUCAGGAGCCCGAAUGGACUAAGACCCUCUUCCACCCUCUGUCUGUGUCCCCACCCCGCACGUCCCCCGUGAGUCUCCUCCAGAAUCCAGCGCCUCACUAAUCUCUCCAACUAGGACGAUGCCCAUCUGGUGCCUCCAGAGAUCUUUCCACAACAUCCUAUGCCCACACCCAUGUUCCCUUGCCAUGCUUACUUCUUCACACGUCUGCCAUCUCCCCUACAACACACUUCACACUCUGAAACCAACGGUCGUUUCCCACUCGUCUCUGUAUCCGUGGGCCUGAGAGGCUCACACCCAGUCAAAGCUUAGUCAAUAUUAGCCGGUUAUCUGAGUGAAUCAAUGAAUCAUUUGGUUAAUUCCCCCAAACCCCCAGGGAGAAGAGAGCUGGGGGCCAAGCUGCUGUCCCCGGGGGGUGGCAUCUAAGGGACAUUCGUGCAGGUUUGGGGCCCCGGACCACAACUGUUUACUGUGUGUUCUUUAUUUCUUUGUAUGUGACAAAGAAAAAGAGAGAGCCACAAAUGGAAAUGGCAGGUGGGUUCUAUAGACGACAG